GACGAACGCUGGCGGUGUGCUUAACACAUGCGAGUCGAACGGUAAGGCCCUUUCGGGGGUACACGAGUGGCGAACGGGUGAGUAACACGUGAGUAACCUGCCCUCAUCUCUGGGAUAACAGUCGGAAACGGUUGCUAAUACUGGAUAUGAGCUUGCAAGGCAUCUUGUGGGUUGGAAAGAUUUUUUUGGUUGGGGAUGGACUCGCGGCCUAUCAGCUUGUUGGUGAGGUAGUGGCUCACCAAGGCUUCGACGGGUAGCCGGCCUGAGAGGGCGACCGGCCACAUUGGGACUGAGAUACGGCCCAAACUCCUACGGGAGGCAGCAGUGGGGAAUAUUGCACAAUGGACGGAAGUCUGAUGCAGCAACGCCGCGUGCGGGAUGACGGCCUUCGGGUUGUAAACCGCUUUCAAUUGUGACGAAGCUUUUUGUGACGGUAGCAGUAGAAGAAGCACCGGCUAACUACGUG
rnacentral:rRNA from 1 species